rnacentral:rRNA from 1 species
AACUUUCAACAACGGAUCUCUUGGUUCUGGCAUCGAUGAAGAACGCAGCGAAAUACCGAUAAGUA